GACGGAGGGGGCAAGCGUUGUCCGGAAUCACUGGGCGUAAAGCGCACGUAGGCGGGACGGUGCGUCGGUGCUGAAAGCGCCAGGCUUAACCUGGCGAGGCGUGCCGAUACGACCGACCUCGAGGCAGACAGAGGGUGGCGGAAUUCCGGGUGUAGUGGUGAAAUGCGUAGAGAUCCGGAGGAACGCCGGUGGCGCAAGCGGCCACCUGGGUCUGACCUGACGCUGAGGUGCGAAAGCGUGGGGAGCAAACAGG
rnacentral:rRNA from 1 species